rnacentral:rRNA from 1 species
ACACGGGGGGCGCAAGCGUUAUUCGGAAUUAUUGGGCGUAAAGGGCGUGUAGGCGGUCUUAUCGGUCAGAUGUGAAAGCCCAGGGCUCAACCCUGGACGUGCAUUUGAAACAGUAAGACUUGAGUACUGGAGAGGAAAGCGGAAUUCCUGGUGUAGAGGUGAAAUUCGUAGAUAUCAGGAGGAACACCGAUGGCGAAGGCAGCUUUCUGGACAGAAACUGACGCUGAUGCGCGAAGGCGUGGGUAGCGAACAGGAUUAGAAACCCCAGUAGUCC